GAGUUCAUUUUGACAUCUGCAUAGUGUACGUACAUUCGAUGUUGAGCUCAAAUCCUAAGAUGGCGCCCGCUUGAUUUUAGAAGAACUUUAGAAGCUGCUCCUGCUUUGAACCCUGUAUAAGAUUGAUUUCAAGCACGCGAAGGCGACAACAAGACAGACCAAACUUACAACAUUGGGGAAACGAACAGGAACCAAAAUGCUCAGAUCAACCCGGGAGUACCAUGACAGCUGCAGUACAACGUCAAUAGACC